rnacentral:rRNA from 1 species
CUUAGUGGCGGACGGGUGAGUAACGCGUGGGUAACCUGCCUUACACAGGGGGAUAACACUUAGAAAUAGGUGCUAAUACCGCAUAAGCGCACAGUCCCGCAUGGGACAGAGUGAAAAACAUUAGUGGUGUAAGAUGGACCCGCGUCUGAUUAGCUUGUUGGCGGGGUAACGGCCCACCAAGGCGACGAUCAGUAGCCGGCCUGAGAGGGUGGACGGCCACAUUGGGACUGAGACACGGCCCAAACUCCUACGGGAGGCAGCAG